GACGAACGCUGGCGGCGUGCUUAACACAUGCAAGUCGAACGCUGAAGCUCAGCUUUUGUUGGGUGGAUGAGUGGCGAACGGGUGAGUAACACGUGAGUAACCUGCCUCCUUCUUUGGGAUAACGCCCGGAAACGGGUGCUAAUACUGGAUAUUCACUGGUCUUCGCAUGGGGGUUGGUGGAAAGGGUUUUUCUGGUGGGGGAUGGGCUCGCGGCCUAUCCGCUUGUUGGUGGGGUGAUGGCCUACCAAGGCUUUGACGGGUAGCCGGCCUGAGAGGGUGACCGGGAACAUUGGGACUGAGAUACGGCCCAGACUCCUACGGGGGGCAGCAGUGGGGAAUAUUGCACAAUGGGCGCAAGCCUGAUGCAGCGACGCCGCGGGAGGGAUGGGGGCCUUCGGGUUGUGAACCUCUUUCGCUCAUGGUCAAGCCGCAACAAUGGUUGUGGUGAGGGUAGUGGGUAAAGAAGCGCCGGCUAACUACGUG
rnacentral:rRNA from 1 species